GUAGGUGGCAAGCGUUGUCCGGAAUUAUUGGGCGUAAAGCGCGCGCAGGCGGUUCUUUAAGUCUGAUGUGAAAGCCCACGGGCUCAACCGUGGAGGGUCAUUGGAAACUGGAGAACUUGAGUACAGAAGAGGAAAGCGGAUUCCCACGUGUAGCGGUGAAAUGCGUAGAGAUGUGGAGGAACACCAGUGGCGAAGGCGGCUUUCUGGUCUGUAACUGACGCUGAGGCGCGAAAGCGUGGGGAGCAAACAGGAUUAGAUACCCUGGUAGUCCACGCCGUAAACGAUGAGUGCUAGUGUUAGGGGGUUUCCGCCCCUUAGUGCUGCAGCUAACGCAUUAAGCACUCCGCCUGGGGAGUACGGCCGCAAGGCUG
rnacentral:rRNA from 1 species